ACGCUGGCGGCGUGCCUAAUACAUGCAAGUCGAACGCACAGCGAAAGGUGCUUGCACCUUUCAAGUGAGUGGCGAACGGGUGAGUAACACGUGGACAACCUGCCUCAAGGCUGGGGAUAACAUUUGGAAACAGAUGCUAAUACCGAAUAAAACUUAGUGUCGCAUGACACAAAGUUAAAAGGCGCUUCGGCGUCACCUAGAGAUGGAUCCGCGGUGCAUUAGUUAGUUGGUGGGGUAAAGGCCUACCAAGACAAUGAUGCAUAGCCGAGUUGAGAGACUGAUCGGCCACAUUGGGACUGAGACACGGCCCAAACUCCUACGGGAGGCUGCAGUAGGGAAUCUUCCACAAUGGGCGAAAGCCUGAUGGAGCAACGCCGCGUGUGUGAUGAAGGCUUUCGGGUCGUAAAGCACUGUUGUAUGGGAAGAACAGCUAGAAUAGGAAAUGAUUUUAGUUUGACGGUACCAUACCAGAAAGGGACGGCUAAAUACGUGCCAGCAGCCGCGGUAAUACGUAUGUCCCGAGCGUUAUCCGGAUUUAUUGGGCGUAAAGCGAGCGCAGACGGUUUAUUAAGUCUGAUGUGAAAGCCCGGAGCUCAACUCCGGAAUGGCAUUGGAAACUGGUUAACUUGAGUGCAGUAGAGGUAAGUGGAACUCCAUGUGUAGCGGUGGAAUGCGUAGAUAUAUGGAAGAACACCAGUGGCGAAGGCGGCUUACUGGACUGCAACUGACGUUGAGGCUCGAAAGUGUGGGUAGCAAACAGGAUUAGAUACCCUGGUAGUCCACACCGUAAACGAUGAACACUAGGUGUUAGGAGGUUUCCGCCUCUUAGUGCCGAAGCUAACGCAUUAAGUGUUCCGCCUGGGGAGUACGACCGCAAGGUUGAAACUCAAAGGAAUUGACGGGGACCCGCACAAGCGGUGGAGCAUGUGGUUUAAUUCGAAGCAACGCGAAGAACCUUACCAGGUCUUGACAUCCUUUGAAGCUUUUAGAGAUAGAAGUGUUCUCUUCGGAGACAAAGUGACAGGUGGUGCAUGGUCGUCGUCAGCUCGUGUCGUGAGAUGUUGGGUUAAGUCCCGCAACGAGCGCAACCCUUAUUGUUAGUUGCCAGCAUUCAGAUGGGCACUCUAGCGAGACUGCCGGUGACAAACCGGAGGAAGGCGGGGACGACGUCAGAUCAUCAUGCCCCUUAUGACCUGGGCUACACACGUGCUACAAUGGCGUAUACAACGAGUUGCCAACCCGCGAGGGUGAGCUAAUCUCUUAAAGUACGUCUCAGUUCGGAUUGUAGUCUGCAACUCGACUACAUGAAGUCGGAAUCGCUAGUAAUCGCGGAUCAGCACGCCGCGGUGAAUACGUUCCCGGGUCUUGUACACACCGCCCGUCACACCAUGGGAGUUUGUAAUGCCCAAAGCCGGUGGCCUAACCUUUUAGGAAGGAGCCGUCUAAGGCAGGACAGAUGACUGGGGUGAA
rnacentral:rRNA from 1 species